UUCGCCCAAUCCUGAACCAUCUCCCGGGAAUUCCUUCAUGGAGCAUGCAGCAUCACCCACUGUCAAUCAACACCAUAACUUCACAAUCUAUCCAUCAAUGAAUGACUCCAUGUUAGACACGGAAGGUGAAUUUGAUCUGGAAGAGACCAUGGACAUGGCCCGACAGGUGGAGGAGUUCCUGCGUCAGCCCAUGGAAACCCAGUGGAGCGGACAACAGUCAUGACCUUUAACCUUGUGAUCUCUUAUGAGAACUACACAAAAACUCAAUGGUUCCAUUCUAUCAUUUUAUCUUAACAAAUGUGAAAUGCUAUGUUUGUCAAAGCUGAUGUGUAACUGCCUUUGCAUUUUAUAUAUAGUUUGAUAUGUAAUUUCCCAUCAUUAACCACCAAAGAACAAUAGACUAUCAAUUGCAGUGAUACACUUCUAUUUGGCUGGAUAUGAGCGGCUACUUUACUAGCCUAGUGUGGGUUUGCCACUUUCAUUGCCCUUUAUCUUGAUUGUUAUAGUCUUUUUUAUAAAAAUCUUCUUGAUCAGAUCUUUAAGUCCAGUCACACAGUUGGCUAAUUGAAGACAUUGACAUUAGUGUGGAGUUAUUUCUCCCCAACUUUAGUUACAGCAUCCCCUAGCAUUGAAAAUGUAUGAAAUUUAGCACGUCAAUAUCCAUGCGUUCCAAACCAUUCACACUUUAAGAUAUUAGCUAAUGAAAUUUGAUUGGUGAUUUUUAAGAUUUGGGAUUGGAAAAAUCGUAAAUCUUAUUGGGAAGCACUUCCUCUAUCAAACGGUUGCUGAGUUAUGAUGUUUUUAGUUGUGUUGCCCCCUAUGGGUGGAUUUUGAGACAAUUUGUCUUGAAUUCUUAGGAUUGUUUAUGUGUACCAAGUUUAGUUCAAUUUGAUAACUUUAGAACAAACUGAAGAAUCAAAAUUCUUUAAAUUUUUUAUUUUAUGUUUAAAUAAGCUUCUUGGUUAAGGUUGAAGAGUGUACAUUUUUUGAGUUCAAACACUCUCUCCUACCCUUUCUUGAUGGGCAGAGACACAGUCAGCUAUUAGUAGGUGAUUCCACCAAAAGUGUGAACACUGUGACUCUGUAGAGCUUUGUAAAUAUG